GCGCCUCGGCCUGGAAGCGGGCCGCAGACCCUUAGUUUCUCCCACCGCCUGACGACCAUGGACCCCCGAAAAGUGAACGAGCUUCGGGCCUUUGUGAAGAUGUGUAAGCAGGAUCCAAGCGUUCUGCACACAGAAGAAAUGCGCUUCCUGAGGGAAUGGGUGGAGAGUAUGGGGGGUAAAAUACCACCUGCUACUCAGAAAGCUAAAUCAGAAGAAAAUACCAAGGAAGAAAAACCUGAUAGUAAGAAGGUAGAGGAAGAUUUAAAGGCAGACGAACCAUCAAGUGAGGAAAGUGAUCUAGAAAUUGAUAAUGAAGGUGUGAUUGAACCACACACUGACACCCCUCAAGAAAUGGGAGAUGAAAAUGCAGAGAUAACAGAGGAGAUGAUAGAUCAGGCAAAUGAUAAGAAAGUGGCUGCUAUUGAAGCCCUAAAUGAUGAUGAAUUGCAGAAAGCCAUUGACUUAUUCACAGUUGCCAUCAAGCUGAAUCCUCGCUUGGCCAUUUUGUAUGCCAAGAGGGCCAGUGUCUUCGUCAAAUUACAGAAGCCAAAUGCUGCCAUCCGAGACUGUGACAGAGCCAUUGAAAUAAAUCCUGAUUCAGCUCAGCCUUACAAGUGGCGAGGGAAAGCACACAGACUUCUGGACCACUGGGAAGAAGCAGCCCAUGAUCUUGCCCUUGCCUGUAAACUGGAUUAUGAUGAAGAUGCGAGUGCAAUGCUAAAAGAAGUUCAACCUAGGGCACAGAAAAUUGCAGAACAUCGGAGAAAGUAUGAGCGAAAACGUGAAGAGCGAGAGAUCAAAGAAAGAAUAGAAAGAGUUAAGAAGGCUCGAGAAGAGCAUGAGAGAGCCCAGAGGGAGGAAGAAGCCAGACGACAGUCAGGAGCUCAGUAUGGCUCUUUUCCAGGUGGCUUUCCUGGGGGAAUGCCUGGUGGUUUUCCUGGAGGAAUGCCCGGAAUGGGAGGGGGCAUGCCUGGAAUGGCCGGAAUGCCUGGACUCAAUGAAAUUCUUAGUGAUCCAGAGGUUCUUGCAGCCAUGCAGGAUCCAGAAGUUAUGGUGGCCUUCCAGGAUGUGGCUCAGAACCCAGCAAAUAUGUCAAAAUACCAGAGCAACCCAAAGGUUAUGAAUCUUAUCAGCAAAUUGUCAGCCAAAUUUGGAGGUCAAGCAUAAUGCCCUUCUGAUAAAUAAAGCCUUUGCUGAAGGAAAAGCAACCUAAAUCACCUUAUGGAUGUCGCAAUAAUACAAACCAAUGUACCUCUGACCCUCUCAUCAAGAGAGCUGGGGUGCUUUGAAGAUAAUCCCUACUCCUCUCCCCCAAAUGCAGCUGAAGCAUUUUACAGUGGUUUGCCAUUAGGGUAUUCAUUCAGAUAAUGUUUUCCUACUAGGAAUUACAAACUUUAAACACUUUUUAACUUUAAAAAUAUUUAAAACAAAUUUAAAGGGUCUGUUAAUUCUUAUGUUUUUCUUUACUACUCAUUUUGGAUUUUUUUUUCUUUGAAUUAUUGGGCAGGGAAGAUACUGAAUGUAUAGAAGAUUUUUGCUCUAAUUUGAGUGAAAUAAAAGUUUAUUAGUGCGAGGCAAACAUAACUCA